UAAGAGGUCUAGCCUGCCCAGUGACUCAAUUCAACGGCCGCGGUAUCCUAACCGUGCGAAGGUAGCGUAAUCACUUGUUCUUUAAAUAAGGACUAGUAUGAAUGGCAUCACGAGGGUUAUACUGUCUCCCUUUUUUAAUCAGUGAAACUAAUCUUCCCGUGAAGAAGCGGGAAUAAAAUUAUAAGACGAGAAGACCCUAUGGAGCUUUAAACUAAGCAACAAUUGUUCUAAAUUUACCCUUCUCCAGAGUUAAAAUUAUAUCUUAACAUUAUGAUUGCUAGUUUUUGGUUGGGGUGACCGCGGAGCAUAAAACAACCUCCACAAUGAAAGAAACUUAAUUUCUUAACCCAGAACUACAACUCUAAGUAUCAAAAAUUUGACAUACAUUGAUCCAAUAUAUUGAUCAACGAACCAAGUUACCCUAGGGAUAACAGCGCAAUCCACUUCAAGAGCCCAUAUCGACAAGUGGGUUUACGACCUCGAUGUUGGAUCAGGGUAUCCCAGUGGUGCAGCCGCUACUAAAGGUUCGUUUGUUCAACGAUUAAAACCCU
rnacentral:rRNA from 1 species